CACUAAACAGUGACAGUAAUAACGGCUAAUUUUGCAGGCAAUAUAUAAGAGGUGUCGGGGUGUGCAAACACUUUCACACCUGGAUUUGCUUACUCUACACAAGCGGUAUACACAGGACCGUCCGCUUUCACAACGCUAUCUUUAUUGAAACACUGAAAGCAUGGAUUUCGACGUUAAACUAAUCCAAGGAAAUUCAGCUGCCGAUACCCUGGAGAUCCUGCCGUCCGCAACUUGUUUUGUUAAUCGAAAUGAAGGGAGGAUUGCGUGAUCCCAAGCACAGAGCGGCUCGCUGUUUCCUCUCAUUACACAAGACGGCCUUACCAGCGAGGAGGAAUAUGCAUGAAUACAUUAAAAGGUAAUGAGGAAGCUGUCAGGAGAGGGUCGUUCGGGCCAGCGCUCCGAGUUGGAGAGCUUUAACAAACAGCAUUACGUGAUGGACUUGUCUUCUCUCUGCACGAGAAGAGAAAAGGGGUGGAGUUCACUGGUGUUACUAAUGGCAACUGUUGCCAGGUUUUCGAUGAUGCUGCUAAUGUGGAUGCAGAGGAAUUUCACUUGCGCCUUGUUUUUUGACUGAUAAGUUAAAUAUUUGAAUUCUUAAGCUACAAAUUCUGUCAAUUCUCAAGCAUUUAAGUUUAUGAAUCAGAAUUAAAUAAUUUUACAUACAAAUAAAAGCAUAUUAAGUUCAUUACGUUUGUGUCUAAAUUCAACCUUGAUGUUUUAAGUAACUUUUGUGAAAAUAACAAGUUAAAAAUGUUAAAUACUUAUUCAAACCUUUUCUUUUUGGAAUAUUUACAAGAAUAAAAGAUCAUAUGUAAUGGCAAAUUAUUUUCUGUUCACAAAGUGUACAUUUUAAAGGGCACCUAUGAUGAAAAUCAUCUUUUUAAAGCUGUUUGGACAGAAGCUAUAGUGUGUCCACAGUCAUAUUAAGUAAUAUUAAGACAAUAUUAUGACGUUCCUGAUGUUAAAAAAAGGAUCCAAAUCCCUCCCAUUUUUAGGCCAACCGCAACGUAAUGUAGGAGUGCAGUUUCCCUGCCCACUGAAUUGAUUGACAGCCACGUGUUAACAUGUUUUCAUAUUAAUGCGUAUAAUCAUAUCAACAAGACAGGACGUGUGCAAAGCAACUGGGACUAAAAGAUCUGUUCAGCUCUCUGUGAUCAUCAACCAUCAUCAAAUGUGAUCAAGAAUGAGUUUAACAAGUUUAAAAUGUGUUUAAAACAGUGCAUGUUAAUGAAUCACGAUGAUUUACUUCAGCUUUACUUAUCACCAUCUGUGAGCAAAAGGAUCCCAAGGAUUGGCUCAAAAGACAAUGUUACUAUGUUUUAGAUGAUAAUUUCUCUACAGCUCCUUAACUCUUAAACAACCAGUAGAUUAUCCAUGGCUGUAAUAACCCAAUGAUUAUAAUGCAUUUGUUUUUUUUUACAAAUUCUUAAUCAAUCUAUAAUAUCAAUAUAAACCAUCAGUAUUAGAAAUUUCCAUCACACAUUUAAAAAUGUAAUUAAAAUGUAUUUUUAUCUAGAGGGUUUUAUUUAUUUGACAUUUAAAUGGACAAUUAAUGUUUGA
rnacentral:lncRNA from 1 species